GCCUACGUGGUGUAACGGUUAGCACACUCGGCGCGUAUUCGAGAGGUCCAGGUUCGAGUCCCGCCGAGGGCA
rnacentral:tRNA from 1 species